AUGAACCUGGAGCUUGCUCUAGGGAAUUAGUGGCGAACGGGUGAGUAACACGUGAGUAACCUGCCCUUGACUCUGGGAUAACCUCCGGAAACGGAAGCUAAUACCGGAUAUGACGCACGGAGGCAUCUCCUGUGCGUGGAAAGAACUUCGGUCAAGGAUGGACUCGCGGCCUAUCAGGUAGUUGGUGAGGUAACGGCUCACCAAGCCUACGACGGGUAGCCGGCCUGAGAGGGUGACCGGCCACACUGGGACUGAGACACGGCCCAGACUCCUACGGGAGGCAGCAGUGGGGAAUAUUGCACAAUGGGCGCAAGCCUGAUGCAGCAACGCCGCGUGAGGGACGACGGCCUUCGGGUUGUAAACCUCUUUUAGUAGGGAAGAAGCGAAAGUGACGGUACCUGCAGAAAAAGCACCGGCUAACUACGUGCCAGCAGCCGCGGUAAUACGUAGGGUGCGAGCGUUGUCCGGAAUUAUUGGGCGUAAAGAGCUCGUAGGCGGUCUGUCGCGUCUGCUGUGAAAACCUGAGGCUCAACCUCGGGCCUGCAGUGGGUACGGGCAGACUAGAGUGCGGUAGGGGAGAAUGGAAUUCCUGGUGUAGCGGUGGAAUGCGCAGAUAUCAGGAGGAACACCGAUGGCGAAGGCAGUUCUCUGGGCCGUAACUGACGCUGAGGAGCGAAAGCGU
rnacentral:rRNA from 1 species